GAAUUAUUCAAAAGUUAUUGACGAGUUAACCAAAAAUUACUUUCUUAUAUUUUCAUAUCUUAACAGUUGAAGAUUGUUGAGUAAAGACUGUUGUGUUGAUAUAUUUUCUGAUAUGAAGAGGCUUUUAUGCACUUUAUGUGGCUUGCUCAGGUAAUUUUUGUCUAUGACUGGUGUACUUAAUACAAAUCAUUAUAUAAUGGAUCUAGCAGUUGUCAAAUAAAUAACUGCAAAACAGCUCCAUCUGGUGUUUGCUAACACUGCUACAUACAUAUGUAUGUUGAACAUUCCAUUUUUCACUCUACAAAGUUUGUUUAAUAAAUUUCCCCUUAUUGUUUAUUACUACAGUUUCAUAACGGUCUGAUCUUUAUCAAUUCAUAUUUUUAUCCCCCCGUCGUAGCGGAGGGAGCGCUAAGUUUUACCCUUAUUUACUAAGGCAUUAUUUUUGAAUGAUUUGGUCUGUAAUAUGUUUCUAGUUCCCUGUUCAGCUAACAACUGUGAUGGGUUGUAUCUUCACUAACUGCUUUAACACUUGUGUGAUAAAAUACAAGAAGUUUUGUAAAUGAGUGUUUCAUAUGAUAUUGAAUAAAUUACAACAUAUUUUUUUCAAAGGUUGCUUUUCUUUACCAUUGUUUUUUUACGGACAAAGAACAAUUGUGUUAUGAUUCUCUACGUAGUCAGAUCUGAUCGUUGACAAUGGUCAUGGUUGUACCACUAUUAAUCUUGUAUAUGUGAUGUAUGUUUUAUUGUACUAUUGUCUUUCUCAGUGUGAAUGUGAACUUUGUGAACAUGAUGAAUAGAAGUGUUAUAUGAUGUCAGCUUUAAAAUACAGUAGACUCUUGUUACCUCAUACUCAAAUUGUCACAUAACUCAAAUCAAAAUUUUGGACUGUCUACUUUUAGAUUGAUAUUACUUGUGAGGAUUCUAUUUGAUUUGAUGUAACUAGAGACUGAUAAUAAAAGCACAAAUGAGUGGUCAAAGAGUGGACAGUUUUCUUACAUAUAUAGUCACAUUAUGGAUAUUUAUCAGUGGAUUUUAUGCAAAGUUCUUGUAAUGUUGAAAAUAUCAGUACUGCCAGCUGUUCAGUAGUUGAAAAAAAAAUUAUAAAAAAUUGAAAUUUUUGCUUUUAAACAUUUUAGCUCACUUAGCCUAGUCCAAGGGUUUUUCAUCUCUUGUUGUCCAUUGUUUCUCUGUUGUAAACUCUUUCAAAAAGCCACUUGGUAAAUGGGAAGCUAAGUAGAUUGGAAUUGUAUCUUGACAACAACCAACAUGAUGAUCAUAUCGGAAGCUAGGGGGGUUCAAGGGGUUUGUACGUACCCCCCUUGAAAACAAAAAAGCACUGUUAAAGUUGACGUUCUGUUUGAAUUGUAACUGUUAAAGUUGAGUAUGAUUGUAUCGAACCACCUUGGAAAUUCCUAGCUACAGUCCUGAUGAUUGACAUACUAAUAUUAUGUGUAAGGAAUGAGAUAUGAAAAAAAGCAUUUAUGCACUAGGAAACAAAAACAGUGCAGUAGUUCCAAUACUUUGAUUGUUACAGGAUAACUAUGGCAAUAAUAAAAGCUCACAUUUUAAAUUUUGAUAGUAAUAUUAGCCAGGUAAGCCAUUUCACCUCCUUGAAAGUAAGUUAUUUUGCUUUUCUUUUUAGAACUUUUUAAGAAUUUUGUUGUUAAGCCAAAUGAUCAAGAAGAAAAUAGAAGCCCACAUUGAAAAGUAGUAUUUUUGAAUCAUGGAGAAAAAAACUAAAUUUGUAAGUGUAUAAGUUUAGUUGUCUACAUUUACUACAACAUUCAUGAAAUGGACAAGUCAAAUAUUAUUUGAUAGUUUGGCUUCAGUGCUGGAGAAGUGGUUUUCAGCUUAAUUUUUUUUAUAAAAAUGCAUAAAAAGUAAAAUGAUGAACAAGAAAUAAUGAACUAAAAACUGAUUUUGUGAAUGAAUGUCCACAGCUGGUAAAUUAUUAGUGCUACCCAUAUCCUUAGUUAUUUAUGUGUGAGUGGUGUCAAGUAUGCAUAUUUGUUAUUGUUAAACUUUUACUAUUUUUAUGUAAAUUGUUUUGAUAUAUAUUGUUAUAGAAUUUUUGUGCUUGUACAAAUAUCAAAAGAUUCUUUAAUUUUAAAGUAUUUAUUAUUGAACAUCAUUGUUUAUUAUACAAUGAAAUAUGUGCUGAUUCUUCAAGCUUUUGGUACAGUAUAGAAAACUUUACAUUUGAAAGCUUGCCUUCUAGUCCAUUUUUUUCUACAUCAAACCUUUUAAUUACUUAAUGUCACUUAUUGGAUUAAAAUAAGUGGUGGUAUUAGACUGAAAUAUAUUUUAAUCAAUUUCUUACACAUAAAAUAUGGUUUGAAUUACUAUUAUGGUGCAUAAAUAUCACAUUGCAGACAUAUGCUAUUCUGGGGUUAUUUCCCUUUAAUUGAUAAAAUUAUAUAUUAUGCAGUUAUCAUUGAAGAAAAAAUAAGUAACAGUUCAUACUUUAUGUAAGAAAUCAGCUGUUAAAUUUAGAAAAUAUCAAGAAGCUUAGGUUCCAACUUUCUCCUUUUAGUCUCAUUUUAAUUGUCAAAUACUGAUUAGAUUAUAGAUAUAUUACUGUAGCAGUUUGUGUAGUACUUCUGUGAUAAGGUUUAUUGAUGUAGAAUCAUACUUCAAAAUAAAUAUUAAAACUGCUCCUGUAAACUUCACCCUUUUCUUCUAGAUAAAAAAAAGGGUACUUUGACAAUUUUUGUGGUUAAAUCUGAUUGUUUCAUUUUGAUUCUUAAGGACAACCAGUAAUUUUGGGCCAAAAAAGUCUCCCUUGCUAGCAGGAUAAUUCCAAAAAAGCUUUGGGUAUGGCACUUUGAUUCAGAUGCAGCUGUUAUAUAUAUAUUUUUUUUUUUUUUUUUUUUUUUAUAAAUACAGGAUUUUCAAUUGAAUCUCAUCUACUGCUAUUAUGUAAGUUGAAUUCUCAUGUGUGAUAUAGAAGAAAAUUAGAUAAUUCUCAAAAAUCUUUGAGCAAUGGGCAUUAUUGGGAAAGUCUGUCCAAAUGCUUGAAGAAUAAGCAGUUAAAAAUUUGUAUGCAGUGCAUUUAAAAUGGAUAUUUGGUUGCAGUGGUACAAAUUUGUGCUUAUUUUAUAUAAAUAUUUUAUUAUAAGUAAUGUACAAACAUGAAAUGUAUGCAUUGAAUCUGAUAGUGUUUCACCCAAGGUGAAGAAGUUGUAUGAUUGUUUAUUGGCAAUAUUUUUCUUACUGAUAACAUUAAAUGUGAAAAAUC
rnacentral:lncRNA from 1 species